CGGGAUGUGGCUCAGCUUGGUAGAGCACCUGGUUUGGGACCAGGGGGUCGCAGGUUCGAAUCCUGUCAUCCCGA
rfam:Thermoactinomyces vulgaris strain NRRL F-5595 F5595contig8.1, whole genome shotgun sequence.